GAUGAACGCUGGCUACAGGCUUAACACAUGCAAGUCGAGGGGAAACGACGGGGAAGCUUGCUUCCCCGGGCGUCGACCGGCGCACGGGUGAGUAACGCGUAUCCAACCUGCCUCUGACUGAGGGAUAACCCGUCGAAAGUCGGCCUAAUACCUCAUGGCAUCGUCUGCGGGCAUCCAACGACGAUUAAAGAUUUCAUCGGUCAGAGAUGGGGAUGCGUCUGAUUAGCUUGUUGGCGGGGUAACGGCCCACCAAGGCGACGAUCAGUAGGGGUUCUGAGAGGAAGGUCCCCCACAUUGGAACUGAGACACGGUCCAAACUCCUACGGGAGGCAGCAGUGAGGAAUAUUGGUCAAUGGGCGAGAGCCUGAACCAGCCAAGUAGCGUGCAGGAUGACGGCCCUAUGGGUUGUAAACUGCUUUUAUGCGGGAAUAAAGUGAGGGACGUGUCCUUCAUUGCAGGUACCGCAUGAAUAAGGACCGGCUAAUUCCGUG
rnacentral:rRNA from 1 species